rnacentral:rRNA from 1 species
AUCCGGAAACGGGUGCUAAUACCGCAUAGUUUUCUUGAUCGCAUGAUCGGGAAAGGAAAGACGGCCUUUGUGCUGUCGCUUAUGGAUGGACCCGCGGCGUAUUAGUUAGUUGGUGAGGUAACGGCUCACCAAGACGAUGAUACGUAGCCGACCUGAGAGGGUGAUCGGCCACAUUGGGACUGAGACACGGCCCAAACUCCUACGGGAGGCAGCAGUAGGGAAUCUUCCGCAAUGGACGAAAGUCUGACGGAGCAACGCCGCGUGAGUGAAGAAGGUUUUUUCCGGGAUCGUAAAACUCUGUUGUCAGAGAAGAACAAGUUGGAGAGUAACUGCUCCAGCCUUGACGGUAUCUGACCAGAAAGCCACGGCUAACUACGUGCCAGCCGCAGC